UUCGCUCGACACGGGUCGCAAAAUAGAGAUAUGAUGGAUGAUGUGGCGCAUUGUGGAGAGUUUCUCUUCGACUUUAUUAUUAUAGAUUUUCUAAAUUGAAGUACAAUAAAUUAAGUGUCAUUUAUUUCAGAAAUAUUUCCUUAACUCUAGCUAAACAUUAAAUUAUAUUUAAUCAGUUCCAAAAAUGUAACAAGAUGUCCUUUAUUACGGGUUGGGUAUUUUUUAUUUUGGUAUAAUUUACUAUGUAAAAAAACACAGAAAAUGUAAUAAAAUAUACAAUAUAAAACACAACAAAUAAAUGAUAUAUUGAUUUUUUUAUCGUAUAAAUCAAAUAUAACCAUAGAUAACAAUUAUAUUUCACAUUAAAAUUUUGAUCCAACAAAAUUACAUUUGCACGAACACACGAGUCAUAUUUGAAAAAUAAAUGAUAUACAAUAUAAAACACAACAAAUAAAUGAUAUAUUGAUUUUUUUAUCGUAUAAAUCAAAUAUAACCAUAGAUAACAAUUAUAUUUCACAUUAAAAUUUUGAUCCAACAAAAUUACAUUUGCACGAACACACGAGUCAUAUUUGAAAAAUAUAGACGAUACAAUUGACAGGUCAAAAAAGUAAAAUAAAAUAAUUCAUUAUCAAUUAUAAAAUUAUUUUGUUUAAAAAUGCUAUAAAUCAUUUAGUACAGAUAAAAUUUUAAAAUAUAUAUUUUUUAAUUUAUAUAAGAUAAAUAUAUAUUCUUUAAAAAAAUAAAAAAUUAAGUGUCAUUUAUUUCAGAAAUAUUUCCUACAAUCUAGCUAAACAUUAAAUUAUACUUAAUCAAUUCCAAAAAUGUAACAAGAUGUCCAUUAUUAAGGGCUGGCUUUUUUUGGUAUAAUUAACUAUGUCAAAAACACACAAGAAAUAAAAUAAAAUACAUAAUAUAAAACACAACAAAUAAAUUAUAUAUUGAAUUUUUAUCAUCGUAUAAAUCAAAUAUAACCCAUAGAUAACAAUUAUAUUUUACAUUAAAAUUUUGAUCCAUAAAAAAUACAUUUGCAUGAACACACGGGUUAUAUUUUAAAAAUAUAGACGAUACAAUUGACGGAUCAACAAAUAAAAUAAAAUUAUUCAUUAUCAAUUAUAAAAUUAUUUUGUUUAAAAAUACUAAAAAUCAUUUAAUACAGAUAAAUUUUUAAAAUAUAUAUUUACAUUUAAAUAAGAUAAAUAUAUAUAUAUAUAUAUAUAUAUAUAUUUUAAAAUAAAAACAAAUAUCCGCGCUGAUAGCUCUAGUGGUGUUUAUAACUUCUAAUUGAAGAACUAAUUCUCAUGAUUUCUUCAUCUCUCUUCCACUUUUCAAUAUUUUUAUUUGUUUUAAUUAGUGAGAUACUUAGCUACAACUUCUCGUUGGAGGUAAACUUAUGGCUGCCAUGGGAACUAUUGAAAUUAUAUAUGAUGAAUUAUGAUGUUGAAUGUUGAUGUUUUAAAGGAAAUAUAUUUUCCAGUUUUGUUUAAAUAGCGAGAAACUGAAGUAUCUAUAAACAUUAUUGAGAUUCCUGGUGUAUUAAAAUAUCAUAUAUAUUAAUUGAGAAAUAUUUGAAAAGAUGUAACCUCAAUUCUGUAAUAACUAAAAAAGACAUAUUGCUUAUGUGUCAAUCAAUUAUGUAGUUAAUUAGUCUUACAUGUCAGCCUUACAUUUAAAUUGAAAAACAUAUUGAUCCAAUUCGAUUUUAUAUCUCACUAGAAACAUUUAAUAUCAACUAUAUGAUGUCAUAUAAUAUUAACUAAAGAAAUGUAGUUAUUUAUUAUAUAUUAUAUCCUUAAAUAAAACAUACAGAAUUAACUAAUGUGAUUAUGAUUUAUAUAGUAAUUAAUGAUUUUAAAUAAUGAAAAUUUGCUAAUAAUAUGUAUGUUCUCUAUCAUUUUUGUUUAAUUAUUUACUAUUAAAAUAAAUUACACAAUUACAUUAAUCAUAUAUUAAAAAUUUAGAUUUUUUGGUAUAGUUGUAUUUUGAAUUUUUUUAAAACGAGUAUAAAUUACUAAAACUGUUAAAAGUCUCACAUAAACUUUUGUGAUCAAUUUUUAAAUUAUUUUCUAUAAUAAGAUACAAUGAUAAUACAAUCAUAUAAAUAAAUAAUUUUAUUUUAAUAUGUGUUUAUGUUAAUAUAUAUAUAUAUAAUUCAUAUUGUUUAAAUUUAAUUAUAUAUCAUAUACGAUUGAUAAGAUUGAUUGUUUUGAUUUAUUUAUUCUAAAAUGACAACGAAUAAACAAGAGCGAUCAUUUGAUUUAUAUGUGCAACCCAAUUUAUUACAUAAUAGUAACUGAUUCCUUAGUUAUUUAAUAUAUAAUUAUUAUUUUAUUAUUUCAUAAUAUGCAGAAAAUAUAAAAUAAGUAUUUAUUCUGCACAAGGCGCAGAUCUUAACCUAAGUAUGUAUCUCUUUAAUAAUUUUGAAUCUUAAACAUUUUUUAAAUCUUAGGCUAAAAUAAAAGAAAGAAAUGAGAAUAAACUCAAAAUUCAAUAUAUAUAUUGAGCAAUAACCAAAAUAACACAAAAGUAGAAAAUUAUCUGAGAUAGAUAGGAUUGGCACGUGAAUGUACACUUCUCAUCACUAUAAUUAACUUUUAAAUUGCUAAAUCAUGAUAUAACACCGAACUGACAUAGUUUCAUUGUAACCAAAUAGUAGGCAUGAUAUUCUUCGACCUAAACGUUAGGUUUUUAUGCGAUAAAUAAUUUUUUGACCUAAACUUUUUUUUUUUAAAUGAGACCAUUUCAUUAGUAAACAAUUAUGUAAUUAACAAAAAAUGUUUAAAAUAAUUGUUUAAGAGCCAAAUAUAUUUAUUUGAUCAAUAAUAUAAAUUUUUUUCCAUACGAUAUUUUUUAAAUAAUUUUCACAUAAAUUUAUCCUACGCAAGGCGUAGGUCUUAUCCUAGUUUAAAAGUAAUACAAAGAAGUUAUAAAUUGAAUAGAACUAUAAUAGUGAGAUUUAUUUCUUCAAAUAGAUUUAUAUUUAUUUGCAUUAGAAUGAAUAAGCUUAUUAUUCUAGAGAAGUAUUUAUUCAUCUUAAAUUCCAAGCUACUCUUUUUCAUAAAACACUUUUAUUCACACAAAAAGUAAAAGAGUGAAUGAUAUUUAAGAACCCCACAAAGAAAUAAAAAUUACCGUUGAGAUUCGAACGUUAAGCUUUAAAGACAAACGUUGCGGACCGGACAGCAUCGGAUUCUUCCAGAGCCUCCCACUGAAUAAUACAUAUAAAUAUAUCUGUAAUGAAAUAGAAUCAGACCAAAACCAAGAGUCUAAGAAACAAAAAAAAAAGAUUAAUCAAAAAGAAGACAGCAGCUUUUUACCAAAAAAAGAAGACAGCAGCUAGAUCGAUGGGGUUGGUGGUGGUCAUAUCUCUUCCUCU
rnacentral:lncRNA from 1 species